rnacentral:rRNA from 1 species
GACGAACGCUGGCGGCGUGCCUAAUACAUGCAAGUAGAACGCUGAAGAGAGGAGCUUACUCUUCUUGGAUGAGUUGCGAACGGGUGAGUAACGCGUAGGUAACCUGCCUUGUAGCGGGGGAUAACUAUUGGAAACGAUAGCUAAUACCGCAUAACAAUGGAUGACACAUGUCAUUUAUUUGAAAGGGGCAAUUGCUCCACUACAAGAUGGACCUGCGUUGUAUUAGCUAGUAGGUGAGGUAAUGGCUCACCUAGGCGACGAUACAUAGCCGACCUGAGAGGGUGUUCGGCCACACUGGGACUGAGACACGGCCCAGGCGCCUACGGGAGGCAGCAGUAGGGGAGCUUCGGCAAUGGGGGCAACCCUGACCGAGCAACGCCGCGUGAGGGAAGAAGGUUUUCGGAUCGUAAAGCUCGGUUGUAAGUCAAGAACGGGGGUGAGAGUGGAAAGUUCACACUGUGACGGUAGCUUACCAGAAAGGGACGGCUAACUACGUG